UACGUAGGGUGCAAGCGUUGUCCGGAAUUAUUGGGCGUAAAGAGCUCGUAGGCGGUCUGUCGCGUCGGCUGUGAAAACCCGGGGCUCAACCCCAGGCCUGCAGUCGAUACGGGCAGACUAGAGUGCGGUAGGGGAGACUAGAAUUCCUGGUGUAGCGGUGAAAUGCGCAGAUAUCAGGAGGAACACCGGUGGCGAAGGCGGGUCUCUGGGCCGUAACUGACGCUGAGGAGCGAAAGCGUGGGGAGCGAACAGG
rnacentral:rRNA from 1 species